UCAUUUAAACAGAUCACCCAAAUGUGAAAGAGCCACCGUUUAGUAGGCGUGUAUGAUGGCUCUUUAAAUAUAGACUGUGAUAUAAUGUUAUAAACCUUGGUGCACGCACUUAAAUAGUUUCGGUAAAAGUUUUUUUACAAUGCACUUUAAUGUGGCUCACCACACUAUAAUUAUAAAAAAAUCGUUCGACCACAAAGUUUAAAGUCCGUGUGAACAGGAAAAUGCAGACGAUAAAUUAAGUGGUCAUCUACAAUGGAAAUGAUACAAAUACACGAAAAAUCACCGCGGCGUGAUGCAGUUAUUGUAUCAUCGUAAAUCCGUUUGUUAUUUGUAAAGGGAGAUUGCUGUGCUAAAGGGUCAAGGGUUCAGGGUUCAUAACCGGGUGUUAUGUAGGUGUACAAUGACUUGAUAGGAAGAAGUUGAUAUAUUGUCAAGUGGUGAAGGGCAGGCUUGGCUACUAUAAAAGAUUUAAGUGUCACACGUGACAGGACACACUAAAUUAACCGCUGAAACCCAACUAAAUAACUGGUAAAACAUUCACUUAUCUUUAGGUGUCUAUUGUCUAAUAAAGUCUAUACUAAAUACAAAGUAAACAAUCGUGCUACCAAUUAUCAUGACUUAACUUUAUUAUCUAUUUUUAAUGUGAAAAAAAAAUUCUGUAAAUGUACCUGAACUUCAAAUAUGCAUAAUUGUAUCGGGUUUUAGAUACUCAUUGUGUUAUUUCAGUGUUAUUUCAUGAGCUACAAAAGUUAAAUCAUUUAAAAUAAUUAUUUGUUAAAUGGAUCAAAUGGAAACUCUCUCAGUAGAUUGAUAUAUCCUUACUGCAGUCUGUAAAGUUUAUAUUAUGGAUUAAUAAAGUAACGUACUGAAAUCGAUUACAGAUAGAAGUAUACAGAAUACGGCAAGAUUACCUGACGCAUUUAGAAAACUAAGGGGUCCGAGUAUGUAUGAACGCGCGUUGCUACGCACCUGUAUUUAAGGGACAGAACCGAGUUAAGGUUUAACACAAGUUAUCAGUUACAAUUUUUGAUAACAAAGAUAACAGAAGUUUUUGUGAAGAUUGUACGGUGCUUAACAUGUGUACAUUUAUACGGAUAUUUACAGGGAUUUUAAUUUAAUGAUAAAAAUGUAUCUGGGUGGUUCGUGUAUGAUUCACACAUUCUAGUGGUUGUGGAGAUUUAAAACAAGUGAGCAUUUGUUUUGUAUUAUAUGCUCAUGAGAUACUCUCUUUAAACACAAACAUGUUGAUUCUAUGGAGCAUACAGUGAUUCUACUAUCUUACAAAACUACUCAACAUAUUUUCUAUCGGAGGUACAAGACGUUGGAGCAGUGCUUUCAUGAAGACAUGAUAAGAGAUUAGCUUUUAUGUUUAAUGUAGAAAACAUGUGUUUAAAGUAAUGUGAAUAUGGAGCUGAUACAGAAUAGGUAGAACCGAGAAGAGUUGAUAUUACCCGAAAUCUAGUCAAGUUAUAUUAUAAUUACUAUUGUGGAUAUACGACCAAACAAAUCAGGAACAAUGGUGAAGCUUUCGGUUGCCAUGGAGGUGGAGGAGUUAGUUAUAGCUAUUCAGGAAGUGAUGGCAGAAAUGUCGGAUAAAUAUUUAACGUUUGUUUGGCUCGGCCUUUUUGGCUUUAUAGUGUUGAUAUUUCUUGCAUCGCUCGUUGGCUCGUUAUGUGGAUUAUCAUGUUACAAUUUUUACCAGAAGAGGAGAAAAACGUUGAAAAAGCGGAAAAAAUCAUAUCAUUUAGCUAAAACAAGUGCCGCCACAGAGGAAAAGGAUAUUUAAAGACAAGUGUUCUUGUUAUUUGUUGUUAUUUUGUGUAUUUUUGUACAUAUGCUUCAGUACCAUUUACAAUGGCAGCAUUACAUACACGACGCAAUUCUAAACUAUACUUCGCCUUACAUAAUAACGUCUUAUGCUUUUUCUGUAAUUUGUCAUUAUUUCAUUCAUCUGUUAAUUAGCAAUAUGAAAUAUUGUAUUCAUAUAUUCAUCGUGUUUUAUUUUAGUGUAAUAGUGGCCAUUUAAAUACAACAUUCCUAGUUAGCUAUUUAAGGGAAUUAGUAGGUCGGUUCACUAUUAGUUAUAAUUGCCUCUAUAGAACAGAACUGAUAAUAGCGAAUGUGCUAUUAUUUUUAUAAUUGAAUGUGCUGUUAUUUUGUUAUUCUGCAUAAUGUAUUCCUGCAGUAAAGUCCGGAUAUACCAUUGAUUUAUCGACUGAUUUUAACACGGCUUUUAUCAAUAUUAGAAUUCACCGUGACCUUUAUGCAAGGAAAUAUAUUUCCUGCUACAAUAUAGAAUACUGCAAUUUGCUCGAAAACGAUGUAAUUAAUUCAAUUUAGUAUACAUACUGACCUUUCUACGGAGAACCUCUACUUAAGUUAAUAGCUAUGGUUAAAUCUGAAACAACAAAAUAGUUUGACGUGUAACUUUUCUAUCUAUUUAGUUAAUUUACACUCAUGUUGUUUAAAUUGUUUAAUCAGUUAAUAUUUGUAUAAGAUAAUAUAAACUGCGUUUGACCAGCAUGUGUAUUUAUUUUGUACUAAAAUGUUCAAACACGUUUAAUUGUCAAGUUGUUAAAAGUCCUUAUAAUAUGUACAAUUAAGUACUGGAUAUGUUACUUGUACAUGUAUAGUUUAUCAAAAACGUGUACAUGGAGCCUAACUUAGAACGGAAAUGUGUAAUCGAAACAUGUUUUCCUUUUGAAAUUAAAUUGUACCAAAAUAGCAAAUUAGUAAAUUGGUUCAUUGUUUCAACAUGCUUCUUGGUACAAAUGUAAGUAGUAUUAUUUUAAGCGCCCUGUAGCAUCCUGUACACGAACAUGAUAAGACAACAAUAAUGUUGUUAUUUACAUUCCCUAGCUUAAUUGGAUUCCCCACCGUUACGAGUUUACCGCCUAUCUCGUUCGUAUACCCUGUGAGAAACAGUGUAACAGUUUCCAAACGCAGACCUGUACGUAAAGAAUAGGUAAACAAAAUUUUUGAUUAAAUUGUUACAUUUAUUGUAUAUAAACUGCAAAUAUUUCUUCAAUAUAAUGUUUGAAUACAAUACUUCACCCAAUUGUAAUUUGAAAUUUAUUAUUGAUAUGAAACUGUUAUUAUAAACGGCUUAUUUAAAGGCACAUUAUGCCUCAGAAUUCCAUAUUUUUGUACUUUUUGUCAACCUCGAGUUAAAAAAUGUUUAUAAUGGAUUCAGAGCAUAAACGAUGUUUUACAGCUAACGAAAAGGUGCCUGAAUGAAUGUGCAGUAAUGUGUCGUAAAUACAGUAAUAUGUAAACAAAGCAGUAUUUUGACUUCCACUUUAAUUAAACCUAUUGCCAACAGAGCAAAAGAAGUAAAAGAUUGUUCAUCUACUUGGCAAAUGAGUAUUUUUGGAGACUGUAACAAGAAACAAAAAAAAAGUUUCUGAGAAAUAAAAUGACACCAUUUCUUAGGCAUAAUGGGCCUUUAAAGUAAGUUGAAAUUUUCGAAUAUUUUUUACUUUAAAUGUAAGGUACGCUUCAUACUUGGCUGGUAUUCAACAAGUACAAUUGUGGCAGAAAUAUUUUACAAAAAAAUCUUGGCAAAACUCGGCACUAAUGUUCAUAGCAGGUGAUAUUAAUAUGAAAAUAUAGUUCAUGCUGUUUAUGUUAAAAUUUCGGACGAAUUUUUUUCACAUGAUAACAAUUGCUUGCCUAUUUGAACAGUUUGUGUUUAUCUCAUCUGAUCUCAUAUACAUGUAUGUUAGUUACAAAGUACAGCUGUGGACCAUCACUGUGCUCUAAUUGAUAGUGUACAUGUAUAUGUAGUUUAUGCUCGCACUGGUAUACAUGUACAUUACACACAAAUGCUUACUGUUUGUUGACUAAAUGUACAUAGCUUUACCGCUGUUAAUGUCAUUGGUGGCAUUCAUAAAUGUAACAUUUUUAUAUCUUAUUACACAAAUAUGCCCUUAUGAAAUAUAUUUUAUGUUCACUUACUUGUGCUCGUGCGUCAUGCCGCAACUUAUCAAAUUUCGUAUAUUAUAUUUAUAUAAAAAGAUCAACAUUUGUUUACUUUGUUCAGUAAUGCAUGAGAAUGAAAGAAAUGUCUUAUCAUAAAUUUUUUAUAUGUAUGACAGACUGCGUAUUAUUUAAAAAAAAGUGGCAUUUGAAUAGUUUAGUAAUUUAAAAAGAUAUUCAGUUUUAAAAGAAUCGAACAAAAUAUUUUGUGAAUAAUGCUAUACGUGUAAUGCGUUUACUUGGAGCUACUUUACAUCGUAGUAAACAAAUUAGAUAUUGGCAUAAGAAUAAAGAGGUCUUGAUAGUUCUUGAUGUUAUCUACAUUUACUUCCCUUGACAUAUUGGGAAGUCAUUUGUCGAGGACAAAUUAAAAAUAACCCCAUUAAACCGAUAGUAGAAGAAUGUUUAAGUUUCUUUAAUUAAAUAUAUGUAGAGAAUUAAAUGCUAGCUACAGUAACGAAUCAGUAUUCUUUGAUAUUUAAGAGUUGUGAGAGAUUUCUUCCAAGGAUGGCCAUACUUUUGUGUAUAAAAUGGCUGGUAGGGGAGGUAAUUCAUGAUGUUUUAAAAAACAAUCUACAUUAUUUAAGUUUUCAAUAUAUAAUUAAUCUUAACAUUUAGAAUUAACUGAAUAAAGAAUAAAUGUAAAUUGAACAAGUUUUAAGUUACCGUCAUAAACUGCCAAAUUUGCAAUUACGCUACAAACUCAGCAAUGUUGCCAUAUAUUUUUAUGUACAUUGUACAUGUUUGAGCUCGCCAAACGAAUAUAAUUUUGUUUUUUGUUAAUAAAGACAAUCCGUACUUUGGGUAUGAUACUCUAUAAUUAAUGUACAUAUAUACAUGUAUAUAUUUAUUGCAUGUUUGUGUUUGAACAAGCAUAAAUUGCAUGUGGACCUACGAUUAUUAUUAUUACAGUUUUUACAUUUAUCUAUCUAAAUGCUUCGCAUCUAGUCCUGCAACUUGUAUUUAAAUGAAAUUGUUCGUCUGUUGAUAAUUGUGUAUUUCUCACAUUAUAUCAGUACCUCAUGGGUUCAUUUGUUUUAAUGCUUUAUUUGUUUACUUAUAUGUUUAUCUCCAUUGCUAUAACAAUGUUCAUGCCUUAAUUUCAUUUUGAAUCCAAUCUGUAAAAAACAUACGGUAUAUUUAUAUAAAAUCAAAUUACAUAAAA